UACGUAGGGUGCGAGCGUUAAUCGGAAUUACUGGGCGUAAAGCGUGCGCAGGCGGUUUUGCAAGCCGGAUGUGAAAUCCCCGGGCUUAACCUGGGAAUGGCAUUUGGGACUGCAAGGCUGGAGUCCGGAAGAGGCGAGUGGAAUUCCUGGUGUAGCGGUGGAAUGCGCAGAUAUCAGGAGGAACACCGAUGGCGAAGGCAGCUCGCUGGGACGGUACUGACGCUGAGGCGCGAAAGCGUGGGGAGCGAACAGG
rnacentral:rRNA from 1 species